UGCGACUCUCUCUCUCCCUGAUAAAUAAAUAUAUUGUUUUUCCCUAUAUAGCCUCGAUUACCGCGAUACCUGGUGUCAGAAGUGGGAUGGAAUUACAGCCCACGCCUGGGAAACCGCCUGAAUUCGGCAUCCCAAGGUACCCAAGUCACCCCUGACUCUGCAGAGGGCCCCAGCUAUAUGGCCUAACAUGGAUAGCACCUGACCUGACCUGGGCUUCGUGUACUGGGAUAAGGUGGCUUCCAGCAGAAGGUGUGGCCCAGAUCAAAGGUUCUCACCUCAAAAUCUGGAUUAAAGGCAGGUGUCUUCUGCCUCAAGAUCUGGAUCACAAGUGUGCCCUCAAUUUCUGGAUUGUAGUUCAUCCCAGAUACAGUCAGGUUGACAACCAAGAACAGCCAUCACCCUAGAAGGAGGAGAAAGCAACAUUUCCCCGGUCCUUUCAAACCUUCACACUGACAGAUGCAACUGCAGUGACCAGCACCUUGGGUCACCCUACUGUGGAUAGGCAGGAGGUCCCAGGAGAUGAGAACCAGGGCCUUCAGGGUGGACCAAGCCUUUGAUCUGCUUGGAGCGGAGGAAAGGGAGGUCUAAGGGCCUUGGUGUUGUGCCCUGGGGAACUCUGGAAAUGCUCAAGACUGAAGACUCCAGAGAGUUUUGAUACAGUUUGCGGUGGUUAAUCUUGACCGUCAACUUGAUGAGAUUUAGAGUCAUUGUGGAAAUGUCUCUGGGCAUGUCUGUAAGGGACUAUGCAGAUUAGGUUAACGGAGACGGGAGGAUACACCUUAAAUAUGAGCAGCAGUCCUGAUCCACAUAAAAGAGGAAAGCAAGCUGAGAACCAGCAUUCAUCUCUCUCUGCUGUCUGACUAGGGAUGCAGCGUCCAGCCACCAUGACUUCCUUCCCCACCGUGGUGGACCACACCCUGGAACUGUCAACCAAAAUGCACUCUCCCUUAAAUUGCUUUUUGACAGGGUAUGUUUUCAUAUCAAUAAGACAAGCAAUUGAUACAAAAUCCAAGACACCGCCUCAAGUAUGCUGGGUGCUGUUCACAGGGCCUCUAGCUGGGCUCACCAAGAGCUGCAAUCUCCUAGAUGGCCUAAACCCGAUCUCCAGAUGAUCCCUGAAAAGUGAGGUGACGCAGUGAUGAAGAGUGACCAGACUUGGACCUGAACCUCCCAGCCCUGCCCACUUACUUUUAGAGACACUUCCGAGCUUCUUGCCUGACGUCUGGGUCUGACUUCAUGAGUGAGAGGUUAUGAUGCAGAUUCCAAUAACAAGUAGGACAUAUGCAGGCCAGCUGCCUUCACCAUCCCUGGCCACCACCAAGGCCAGCUGCUGCUUUGUUGUCUGGGAUAGUUGUGUUGGGGUGGCAUCAUACAAAGACAGUCUUGACUCUUGCUGCUUUUUGGUAAGUAGUUCAUUUGCCGGGACAGGGUUGUUAUUGCUGGUGCGGUUACCUGGAAUUCCUACAGCACCAUCCCUUGCAGGAGGCUGGUCUGCUUGUGGGACCUCAUGGUUUCUUGUCCCUUCUUUCCUGGGACCUAACCCGCCUGCGCCAUCUUAGUUAGGUUUUUAUUGCUGUGGAAAGAUACCAUGAUCAUGGCAACUCUUAUAAAGGAAACAUUUAGUUGCAGUGACUGGCUUACAGUUCAGAGGUUCAGUCCAAUAUAGCAGGGAGCAUGGCGGCAUCAGGCAGGCAUGGCGCAGGAGAAAUAUCUGAGUGUCCUAUAUCUUGCAGACAAGAAGUCAACUCGCUGACACACUGAGUGAAUCUUGAGAAAAAGACCUCAAGGCCCACCCCCACAGUGACAGACUUUCAACAGAAGGUGUGGCCUGGAUUAAAGGUGUGCCCUCUAGACUCAAAGUCUGGAUUACAGGCAUGUGUCAUCCAGCCUCCUCCAACCAACAAGACCACACUCCCUCCUUCAAGGCCUCUCCCUAUGAGCUUAUGGGGACUAAAUACAUUUAAACUACCACACACACCCCAAAAAGCCACUUUGGGUCUCAUGUCCUUGUUGCCAAGUGAGGCUUUUUCUUGGAGGUGUCCAAGAUUGACAGAAACAGAAGCUUCAGGAGGACCAUAGGCAUUUCAAGGAAGCUAAGAACUUAGUGUCUUAUGUAUCUUCUAUACUAUGUCUCAUACAUGUGCAUUUUUAUACACACACACACACACAUCCACAUUGGGUGUAUACACUCGCACACAUGUACAAGCUCAUAUUCAAUGAACAAAUAGACACCUGUAUGCCUCUGUGUAAGUUUACAUAACAAUUGACAAAGGCUUGCAGAUUAAUCUGUGGACUCGUGCAUUUAUGGAUACACCCACAUGUAAACAUAUGCACUCAUAUACACAUAUACAUGAAUGUCCACUGUACACACACUCAUAUGCAUAUUAUGAAAUGGGCACAUUCAUCUACAUCUACCUCACUGUAGAUCUGAGCUGCUGGUACCACAAAAGUUAGGCUCAGUGGGAGCACAGGAAUCAGUGUUGUGCUGUAAACAUGCUACAUCAGCCUGGGAUGUGGCAUCUCAGCCAGAGGCUGCGCUGCCAGGAUAAGCAUAUCUGUGAGCCCAGUUAGGGGUAGGGCAGGACUCUAGGGGUCAGGAUGCUCAGACUUGCCGUUCUGCAGACUUGCUGGGUCAGAGCCUUUUUGCUCAUUGGGCUCUUGGACCAGGCACACUUACACACUUAGUGCCUGAGUGUCACCAGCUGGACAUACCAGUGAGAGAGGGUACCCUGUAACAAGGAUGAGGCUGCCUCUGGUGAUGCAUCUGUCACACAGGGCUAGGCUCUAUGGUGGUCAGCAUUGGAGCAACAGGAACAUGGGCCUCAGAGGAUGGGAGGUGUAUCCAUAUCUCUCCUCUUUUUCUGAGGACACCACCCACUCCAGUGUGGCCUCAUCUUAACUGGAUAUCCCAAACAAGGUCACCUUUGAAGUUCCAUGCAGACUUGAAUGCUGGGGGUGAGAGGUUACUGCUCACCCCAGUACAGCAGGGAAAAACAUCAGAAUGGCUGGGACUUCUCUAAGGGAACCUUGGCCUCAGAAUUCAUGUCUCUAAGGAAGAGAACCGACUGGUCCAGACACCUCUCAGAGCACUGUGGUAGAAGCCAGAUUUCUUGGAUUAAUUUCACCUUUUCCAAUAAAUUUCUUCCAUGUUACUAAA